GUAACUAGAUAUGCACUAGCACAUUCUGCAUGGACACUGGUUUUUGUCAUGUUUCCCUUGCAUUUUACAGAGCAUGCAGCAGCUGGAUCACCACUUUAAAGAGGGCAGAGAGAUGCAUGUACUAUCCACAACUGCCAAUGGCUCCUCUAGCCCAAGCAGCCUUGCUGCUCCCUGCCUUCCAGUGUCUACAAACGCUUCCACACUCUUCACUUAACCACCAUAAAAAAACCCUCUAGCCACAAAUGGGGAGAGAGAAAUGUGCUGCAGCUACACAGCCAAGAGGAGCUGUGCCAUUUCCUGAUAGUGUGAAGCACUCACUCCUCUUCCUUCUGUGGAUGUACAGCACUAACAGAGACUGAGCCUAGUGAUUGCAAUGGCUUUCCUGAUUGCAGCAAUUGCAAAGCCCCGCUCCUGUUCACCCAGCCAUGAAAGAUGACUGGAUGCACUGAUUCUCUACUGAAAGCAAAAAGGAGCAGCAGCAGAUUGAAAUUGCAGCAAUACAAUCUGAAAAUGAUAAAUCCUUGAUGAAGUUUCUCUGAGAGUAUUGUUUCCCUGCCAUCAAAUCAACAGCCUGGUCUCUCCAAUAUGAAGAGGGAAUGAAAUCUGCUACUCUAAGUCCACUGGACAUGAAAAGCUAGAAGCAUACCAGCCCUUGACCUGCUGUCAGAGUAAACAAAGACCACCUUCAUCUGGCCUCCUCAAAUCUUGAGCUGUCCCAGCUAAGGCAUACGGAGCCUGUACUUCUCACUUCAUAAGAGUAAGAAAUGACAAUAAGCAAUGCCUUGCAACGUAGAAAACUAAGUAGUUAUUGUAAAUUUCUUUACACAGUCCCCAGCUUCGAACUAAGGAGGGAUGCCCAGCAUUGUACACAAGGAGCCUGGAUGUUCUGCUUU